GACGAACGCUGGCGGCGUGCCUAAUACAUGCAAGUAGAACGCACAGUUUAUACCGUAGCUUGCUACACCAUAGACUGUGAGUUGCGAACGGGUGAGUAACGCGUAGGUAACCUGCCUGGUAGCGGGGGAUAACUAUUGGAAACGAUAGCUAAUACAGCAUAAUAUUGAUUAUUGCAUGAUAAUUGAUUGAAAGAUGCUAUUGCAUCACUACCAGAUGGACCUGCGUUGUAUUAGCUAGUAGGUGAGGUAACGGCUCACCUAGGCGACGAUACAUAGCCGACCUGAGAGGGUGAUCGGCCACACUGGGACUUAGACACGGCCCAGACUCCUACGGGAGGCAGCAGUAGGGAAUCUUCGGCAAUUGACGAAAGUCUGACCGAGCAACGCCGCGUGAGUGAAGAAGGUUUUCGGAUCGUAAAGCUCUGUUGUAAGAGAAGAACGGGUGUGAGAGUGGAAAGUUCACACUGUGACGGUAUCUUACCAGAAAGGGACGGCUAACUACGUG
rnacentral:rRNA from 1 species